UCCAAGAUGAGGAUAUAAAGGCAUUAUGAUUUCCUUCUUGCUAUGUCUUGAGUCACUUGCUCUGGGAAAAGCCAGCUCCUGUGAUAGUCAAGCAAUCCUAUGAAGAGUACCCCAGGGCAAGGAACUGAGCCCCCUGUCGUUAGCCAGAAACCCACUGAAGACUUCCACCAGAAGCCAUGUGAGCGAGCCAUCUUGGAAACCCAUCUUCCCACCUCAGUCAAGUCUUCAGAUGACUGCAGCCCAGGCUGAUACCUUGACUGACACCUUGUAAGAGGCUCUGAGUCAGAAUUGCCAGCUAAGCCAUCCCCCAAAUCUUGACCCAUAGAGACUAGAACACCAAGUAAUUGCGGCAAUGCCACAGCAGAAAGAACCUAUCGUUCCUGGGGCUGGGGAAACAAAGAGAAGAGGAUGACAUUAUUGAAACUUGUGAGGGCUCCCAUAGAGCAGAGAUGCAGACAUCUGAGAAGGAGGCUGCCAUUCAGCUGCUGCUGCUGUCCCCAAGCUUGGAGUGGGGCUCCACGGGGCUGUGACUGGCUGAGGAGUGGGUGUUGGUUGGCUGCUGCUGGGGUCUCCAAGAAGGCACAAUGAAGCUAGUUCUGUGCGUGCUGGGAAAACUGCACACCGGAUUCAACUGCUGCUACUGGAAUGAACUGCCUCUGCUGGAGAAAGAUGCGGGCCUAAGGUGAGGCUGGUGGGACCUGGAGGCAAACAGGAAACCCACAAAAAGCAAGUGGGAAGGAGCAAAUCUCUCCUUCCUUCCCACGCUUCCAGUUUUCUUCUAGAAUCCAUGUUGGCAGAAGCCGAGAGGAAGUCAGUUGGCAAAGCAGAAGCCCAGCCCCAGCAUUAUACAGCAGAGAACAGUUGAGUGGGUGUGAAGGUGAGAAGCAGUAACUCAGUCACUGGCACCAUGACGGUCCUUGGGUUAGGGGCAGUGGGUAGCCCUAAUCACCCAUGCUGGAUUCCUUCCGUUUCCCUCUUUGGAUUUACUCUCCACCCUUCCCACCUUCGCAGUGUCCCCAGCUGUUGUCUGUGUGAUGCACAACAGGCUGCCUCGCACUCUAGCUUCUGGCUGUGAGCAUGGCUAAGAGGUGGAGAGAAGGAGGGGAGUGAGGAUGGGACACACACUGACCUGAUUCCCAGCGAUGGGUCUGCUGUGUUUUUCCUUGGAGCUCCUCCUUUCUUCCUCUUAAGACCACGGGGUGGCAACACGGUUUUGCUGCUUUUAGUCCCAGCACACGGCACCAUUUUCU
rnacentral:lncRNA from 1 species